rnacentral:lncRNA from 1 species
CCCAUGUACAUCAUGACUUUACAGAGUCACUUUGGAUGGACAGUUCACAGAGGGUCACCGGAUCACGCAGAGAUGACAGGUUCUGAUGUGCUUUGCACUAGUUUCCUGGAGUCAUGCUCAUCUCAGUACCAAUAGCAAAACUGUGGUGUGCAAAGAAAAGCUGGAAUCUUGUCCACAUCUGUGGAGACAACUGAGGAGGAAGGUAAUUGGGCCAGUGGAUGGUGACUGCUGCUGGAAGGAGACCCCAGCCCCAUUUCUCCUCAAGCACUUCCUCCUUCUUAAGGUAAUGAGAUCUUCAGGGAAAAUUGUGAAAAACAUCUAUUUAUUGCCUUCUCAAAAGAGGAAUUUGCAGUUGUUUCCUGUCUACCUUCCUUCUAAUGCAAUGAGAGAACCUGCCUGAAGCAGGACAGUGCUGAGCAGCUGCUGCUCUUCAAUUGCAGAGCUGGCCUUCUGGAAAAACCAUUCACCUCACAAUACCUCAUGGGAAUUGUUUAUUUAUACAAUGUGUACAAAAAAAGCCACAAACAGUUUUAACCUGAGGAAAAUACAAAUUUGAUACAAAGGAGAAUCUUUGUCUCAUAUUCUUAAGGAUGCUUAAAAGACCAGGGUAUUUCCCUCCCAAUAUCACUAUCUCCAUCCCAUUGGAGGAUAAAAGAAGACUUAUUCCAAAUGCAGCUGUCUGCAAGACAGCUGAAACUGGAGGAGUUAAGUACAUUAACAAGUUCAUCCCCUUGGUGAUCAGGACUUGUUUUAUCAGUAACUUGUGGUCACUGCAGGACAGACCUCAGCGACAGCAUGACCUUGGGCUUGCCAUUUCUUGGUAUUUCUUUCCUCCUUAAGUCUCUACAUUUCUUUGAGACAAAACAGUACCUUUUUAGGGGUACUUUAUUCCUGAACUAAGAUACCAUCUGGAAAUGGUCUUAGCAUGAUGCAUUUAAACGCACAAAUGUUCACAUAAAGUUUUUGUGCGUACAAAGUUGUCAGAGAAAAAACAUGAAUGUAACAGCUGCAUGUAAAACCUGGUUGUUUUUUACAGUGUUCCAUCAGUAUUUACCUUACCUUAUCAGUAUUCACAGCUUGUUUUCUCUCUGAUCAAGAUGUCAACAGUCCCUGCAUCUCACACUGUUCCUCUAUUAAACACCUUGCAUCAUUCUACAGCUUAUUUUGAUAAAAUUUGUUCAAAGCUCUACAUGGACAGAGAAUUGCCAAGUUUUCCCUGGCACUUUCUAUGGCUUCAUGACUGAGGCUGAUUAAAACAUCACAAACACAAAUUUUCUCUUCUCAAAAUCACCUGAAAAAAGACAAGAGUGCUUUUAGAUAAUUUUAUCCUCUCCUAUACCAUCCUGACUUAUUCCUGAGGCAUAUGACCCUAUUUCCUGGGCUUUGAACCACUUAAAACA